rnacentral:snoRNA from 12 species
CAGCACUGGCAAGUGACCCACUGGUCUCCUCCUUGACCAAUUGGGCAUCGAGCAGUGCAAAAGCAAAUCCCUCCGUUAGCUGGGAGAGUCAUUCUGUGGGCUACUCCUGCAUGCAGGUGGGUACAUAU